CUCGGCCGAACGCCCCGGACGGUGUUGGGCGUUCUGGUUGCCCGCGUUCGCUCCGCGUCAGGGCGGCACGGAUCGUGUCCGUGGUCCGGGGAUG
rnacentral:tRNA from 1 species